AGCCGUCGCGACUGUCUCUGUGUGCAGCAGUGAGGGAACACGUGGUCUGCUCUCUCGCUCAUAAUGGCCGCCUUCCAUUGUGAAGAACCUCCUUUAAGAUCAGGCUUGCUGAUCCUGAGGCCCUGUGGGUGAUCUGAAAAUAAGUGAAGGCUGCACCAUGCUCUGAGCCGAAGAAUCUGGCACAAACACCAAUGGGUGUCGUGUGGACACAUGCAGAGAAUGGCCAGCUUUCAUUGUGUAGCCCCUCCUUCAGGACAAGGCAUGCUGGACAGUUAAACUUGUACUUGGUGAAGCUUCAAAGUAUUAAACCAGAUUGAGGCCCCAUGGAUGAGUCUUGAAAGACCAAAGGCUUUUUCAUAUCUAAUUGGGCUGCCUUAUGCUCUGAUCUGAAGAAUGUGGCUGGAACACAUCAGUGGGCUUAAUAUGGAGACGGGUGAAGGACCACUCUGCAUAAUGUCCCAUCCAAGAAGCCACCAGAUGCCGUGUUGAGCUUGUUUUUGAUGGUUGAGUAACUGUGGAGCAUGUAUAGGAAAGCAACACGUCAUGCCUGGUUCAUGUCUUGUAUGGUGUGGAUUACCAACUGCUGCUAUUGUAAAUGUUUAUGUAAAGUCUUUUGUUCUGUCAAAGAAUAAAAUCUCAGGAUUUGGUU